rnacentral:rRNA from 1 species
AUCUGCCGUGGGCGCUGGAGAACUGAGGGGGGCUGCUCCUAGUACGAGAGGACCGGAGUGGACGCAUCACUGGUGUUCGGGUUGUCAUGCCAAUGGCACUGCCCGGUAGCUAAAUGCGGAAGAGAUAAGUGCUGAAAGCAUCUAAGCACGAAACUUGCCCCGAGAUGAGUUCUCCCUGACUCCUUGAGAGUCCUGAAGGAACGUUGAAGACGACGACGUUGAUAGGCCGGGUGUGUAAGCGCAGCGAUGCGUUGAGCUAACCGGUACUAAUGAACCGUGAGGCUUAACCUUACAACGCCGAAGGUGUUU